CUGUGGCUUGGCCCCCUGGGUCCAUCCCUGGAGGCCAGCCACACCUGGGAAGCCUCUCUCCUCUCUGAGCCCCAUCCCUCUGCAGACCCAGGUCCCUGGAGGGGAAGGGCCAUCCCAGAUACCAGCUGGCUGUGGUCCUCGGGGGCUGCGGGCCCUGCACAGUCCAUCUGAGGAGUCUCUGCCUGCUGAAGUGGGAGGACUGAGCGCUUGGACCAGCUGUCAACAGCCUAAGGCUCCCAGGCUGGUGGCCGCGCCCAUUUCUAGAAGGGGGAAGUGCCCUGACCGCGGUGGAAUACUCAUGUAGGUUCCAGGCCAGUGUCCUGACCGCGGUGGACCUGUGAUCCUGUGGGCAAGUGGGACCCCCGGAGCUUCACCUCGGUGGAGGACGAUUGUGUGCCCGGCUUUCCUUGUGUCCCCCUCAUCCGGCUCCCAGAGAACCUGGACACCAGGAAGCCCAGCCCCGUGGAGUGCCCUGGAGUCCAGGCUGGCCCAGGCGGGGUCCUGUAGCCCCAGCAGCCCAGCCCUGCUGAGUGGGGCCUGGGAGGCUGCACUCAGUGCCCUUCCUCUCUGGCUCCUGUCCCCACCUGGCAGCUCCACUGGCUAACAGCCUGUCCCCAGGCCAGGAGCUGGAGCCUGCCUGCCUGGCAGAGAGGGCCCUGCAGCAAGCAGCCCCAGGGUCGUGCACGGGGGGGGGGGGGGGGGGGGGAUGGGCAGAGCCUGGAAAAUAAAGUCCCAACUGUGGUUUCAUUUUCGACAGUCGCCCUCCUGCCUGGGGCGCAGUGGGAGGUGUGUGGCUCUCUAGUCUGCUCAGAUGGAAAGCACAGGAUUGAGACAGCCGACUCCCAAGGUUCU
rnacentral:lncRNA from 1 species